rnacentral:rRNA from 1 species
AGAGUUUGAUCCUGGCUCAGGAUGAACGCUAGCUACAGGCUUAACACAUGCAAGUCGAGGGGAAACGAUAUUGGAAGCUUGCUUCCGAUAGGCGUCGACCGGCGCACGGGUGAGUAACGCGUAUCCAACCUGCCCAUCACUUGGGGAUAACCUUGCGAAAGUAAGACUAAUACCCAAUGACGUCUCUGGAAGACAUCUGAAAGAGAUUAAAGAUUUAUCGGUGAUGGAUGGGGAUGCGUCUGAUUAGCUUGUUGGCGGGGUAACGGCCCACCAAGGCGACGAUCAGUAGGGGUUCUGAGAGGAAGGUCCCCCACAUUGGAACUGAGACACGGUCCAAACUCCUACGGGAGGCAGCAGUGAGGAAUAUUGGUCAAUGGACGAGAGUCUGAACCAGCCAAGUAGCGUGCAGGAUGACGGCCCUAUGGGUUGUAAACUGCUUUUAUAAGGGAAUAAAGUGGGAGUCGUGACUCCUUUUGCAUGUACCUUAUGAAUAAGGACCGGCUAAUUCCGUGCCAGCAGCCGCGGUAAUACGGAAGGUCCGGGCGUUAUCCGGAUUUAUUGGGUUUAAAGGGAGCGUAGGCCGGAGAUUAAGCGUGUUGUGAAAUGUAGACGCUCAACGUCUGCACUGCAGCGCGAACUGGUUUCCUUGAGUACGCACAAAGUGGGCGGAAUUCGUGGUGUAGCGGUGAAAUGCUUAGAUAUCACGAAGAACUCCGAUUGCGAAGGCAGCUCACUGGAGCGCAACUGACGCUGAAGCUCGAAAGUGCGGGUAUCGAACAGGAUUAGAUACCCUGGUAGUCCGCACGGUAAACGAUGAAUGCCCCCUGUUGG